GACGAAGGGGGCUAGCGUUGUUCGGAAUUACUGGGCGUAAAGCGCGUGUAGGCGGUUGUCCAAGUUGGAUGUGAAAGCCUUGAGCUUAACUCAAGAAAUGCAUUCAGGACUGGAUGACUAGAGGACCGGAGAGGAUAGUGGAAUUCCCAGUGUAGUGGUGAAAUACGUAGAGAUUGGGAAGAACACCAGUGGCGAAGGCGGCUAUCUGGACGGUUUCUGACGCUAAGACGCGAAAGCUAGGGGAGCAAACAGG
rnacentral:rRNA from 1 species